UGGGAGAUCGUCUAAUGGCAGGACUGCGGACUCUGACUCCGCCAAUGUAGGUUCGACCCCUACUCUCCCAGCCA
rnacentral:tRNA from 1 species